AUAAUAAUUGUCAGACAUGACAAGGGUACAAUAAUACAGGCAGUUGAGACCCUCGAUGUGCAUGGUGUUGACAAUGGCUAUGGCUUUACCAGUCACAUUCAUGAGGGUAAAGAUUAGAGUUAAAUGCUGUUUGAGUUGUACAUAUUAUGGUAUUUUAUACCUGAAAUAUUCUUUGUUUCUGAAUAUAUGUUUUCAACUUCAUCCCGCUAACAUAAUGUUUCAACUCCUCCUGAUGAUAAUUCUCACCCUAAGAAAACACCUACUGUAAUGCACAAAAAUCACUAAGUCAAGAUAUCUGUUUGUGUCAAUACAGAUGGUACAGACGAUGAGAAAAUCAUAAAAUUUUUUCUGGGAAGAAAAUGGCGUGAAGUUUGGCAAUUUCACGUGCAAUGCUUCCAGUUAUUUCCCAGAAGUCCGGUACAUCUGGAGUGUCCCCUGUCAAUCUGAGUCUCUUAUAAACGGUGCCAGCGUAUGCAGAACUGCUUUUGAAGAAAGGAGGUCAGAGGUCACUUGCAUUGCAGUUUACUCUUCAGGGGGCUUUACUGUUGAAGAUUAUUCUAACAAAAAUAUUCCUGAUAGUAGGAGGUGGACUUGGUAUGCUUGGGAUUUUGUCCUUUUUCGUUGGUAUUGCUGUUUACCUAAAGCGUCGAAAAGGGUCAGAAACAACCUCGGAAGUCAAUGACCAGGCUGACCAAGCUCACCACACGGAUGAAACUACUGCUAAAAUAAGUGCAGCUUCAAUGUCAGACUGUCGACAAUCUUCUGAAGAUGCUGACUUCUAUGAAAAUGUGGAUCAAGAGACAGUGGAUCAAGAAACAGUGGAUCAAGAAACAGUUGAUAAAGAAACAGUGGAUCAAGAAACAGUGGAUCAAGAAACAGUGGAUCAAGAAACAGCAAAUGCCUCGAAGAAAUCAGCUUCAACACCACUCACCAAAACUAUUUUGUUUAGCCGAAUGAACGCUGUGGGACGUCCAAUGACUUAUCUUUAAUUCUGGAUAAAAGCUCAGAAAUGAAUCAAGAGCAGGAAUCCACAGCAAAAUUCUAAUGAAGAAAAUGCCAGCAGACUCCCUCAGGAGUGGAUGGCCACAGAGGUCACCAGCACUUUAACAAGUUUGUUAAACAAGACAACACUUAUUUUGAUAAGCACAGGGUUAAUGUAAAUAUUUGUAAAUUAACCUAGUAGAAUGCAGGAAUUUAAAGUUGUAUUAUCAAGUACAUAUAGUAGUUUUGUACGUGUUUCUAUGUGAACUUUAUAUCUCUGUGUUUUGUUAAAAGCUCUAGAGUUGUUCUGUAUAUAUAAAAUACAUUCAGCUAGAUGCAUUGAUAUUUGUCAUUUUUGUCUUCAAUAUGUUUAAUCUGACACAUUUAAUAAAAAUAAAUAUUAAUAAAAACGUCAUAACACGAAGUCAAGUCAGUGAAAUGUUAAUGUAGGCAACGUGUGCUCCAGGUAACAGCUUGCAACUGAUAAAAAAUGAGACACUACUUCUUAUAUGUAUGUAAAGAUUGUUUUUAUAAAGAUAUGUUUAUAAGCUUUAUUUACAUUUUUUGAAUUGUUAAUAUGCUUAACAUAUUACUAGUCGCACUACUUUCAUUUCUUCGUGUCUUUUACCUGUUUAUUAUGGUUUUAGUUUGUAAUGAACUUAAUGGUUUUGUCUUUGAUGAUAACAAUGUUAUCAUUCACCUAUACCAAACUGAGAAGUAUGCUAAAAUUUAUGAAAGCAGCAAUUAAAAAACAAUCUUGUGCUAUUACCUGUUCAUAGCUUAUACACCUUUAUCCAUGCAUGUUAAGUGUUAAUGUAAGUUUUAAUCAUAAUAUGCAGCGCGUGCUUGGAGACAUUCGGCGUCGCUCUUUCUCCUUCUCUAGCCUUAGUAUUUGAAAUGGUCUGCUUCUGUUUCUACCCAAAGAAAAGUCGGUACAUGGCUUCCAAUCUAGACUAAAAACAUAACUCUUUCAGCAACACCUAUUGUAACUCGUGUAUCCUGCUUUUCUCACCCCUCCACACACUUCUCUGUCUCUCUGAUCCUUCGUGUUCGAUGUUAUCUGAUGCCUGUAUGUGUCUUAAUUUUGUGUUUGUACUUGAUUGUCUUAACUAUGUCACACGACCUCUUUACUCCCUGCUUUGGUCUCUUGCGAAAGUCAUCUAGCCAGACCGCAUGUUGGUAAAUGUACUAUGCACAAAUUUUCUUCUGGUUUUUCUUCUUCUUUUUUUUUUUCUUUAUUCUUUAUCUUCUUCUUCUGGUUAUAUUUUUUGUAGGUAUAGUCUCAUUGAAUUAGUGAAUAUGCCCCAUCUUGACACUAACGCUGUAAACUGACACGAAACUCAUAUAAAGGAAGCCUUCAACUUAUAAAUAGCUACGAGUUUCUUCAUUCUGCUAAAUACCCAUGAACUCUGUCUGUGAUAGAUUAUCACUAAUCUCAAUUUACAAUUGUUACGGUUAUCCUUAUUGACACCUGCAUAAAGACAACAGGAAACACG